GCCCCGGUUCCGUACCGGCAAGCUCACUUGGCAUAUGAGCCAGCAAAGUAUUGCAUGUGUGCUCCGAGGGCGAAAGCGCCGAUGUGGAUCUCCUGGAGCGACAAGAACCCAGGGAGAAGGUACCUGGCCUGUCCGAAGGGGAGGGUGAGUUCGUCAUAUCGAUCGUUAAUUUUUGGUCAACAGACUUUCGGCUGUGGUUUCUUCCAGUGGGUUGACGAAGAAACAAGCCCGUUUCUCACACAGUUGCGGCUGGAUCUGAGGAAUGCCAUGUGGUCUCUAGAAGCACACAACAGAAUACUUGACCGCAAUGUGCACGGCUGGCGGAGCCCGAACCUGGAGCAUAUUAAAGUU
rnacentral:rRNA from 1 species